AUUGAACGCUGGCGGCAGGCCUAACACAUGCAAGUCGAGCGGAUGAAGGGAGCUUGCUCCUGGAUUCAGCGGCGGACGGGUGAGUAAUGCCUAGGAAUCUGCCUGGUAGUGGGGGAUAACGUCCGGAAACGGGCGCUAAUACCGCAUACGUCCUGAGGGAGAAAGUGGGGGAUCUUCGGACCUCACGCUAUCAGAUGAGCCUAGGUCGGAUUAGCUAGUUGGUGGGGUAAAGGCCUACCAAGGCGACGAUCCGUAACUGGUCUGAGAGGAUGAUCAAUCAAAACGGGAAUAGAGACAGGGACCGGCCACCGAGGGGGGGAGGCGGGGGGAAAUUGGGGAGAAGGGGGGAAAGUGGAAUAGAGCUGGGCGGGGGGUGGAAAGAAGGUUUUGGGAUGGAAAAGAAUUUUAGGUGGGGGGGAGGGGAAGUAAUUUAAUACCUUGGUUUUUGGAGGUUACCAAAAAAAAAACACCGGGCUAACUUGGUG
rnacentral:rRNA from 1 species